UCCCAGGUAUCUCUUUCUCCCAGGCAUCGUUCAGAAAGCAUCAGUGAUUUGGAUAACGUUCUGUCUGAGGAGGAAGAUGAUGAAACCAUGACGUCCACUGAGAUGUACCAUUGCUUGUACUCUUCUCUGACCUUGGAGCAAACAGAGAAACCCACCUCUCCAGAUCCUACAGAAACAACUCCUGCAGCAUCAGCACAGAACCAGGAGGAGAACCCUAACAGAACUGACAUCAAUCUUCCAUCUCUGGGAGUUGAAAUCCUGAAGUCAGAAGAGUCUCUUGAAACUGAAGGGAGAGUCACCACAAACCCUCUUUAUUUGCAGCCUAUGUCCUUUGGCUUGAUCUCAUCAGGUCCACCGUCACCUUUAGGACUUCCAGAAUCUUCUACACCACAAAGAGAAAUAGAGUCAUUAAGAGCCCAUUCACCUAUCCAGACACAUGAUAUAAACGAUAUCCAGAUUCAAACAAGUGAGAAUCGUGUGUCUGGCACAGAUAGAAACGACAGCAUCCAAGAGGAAUCAACAUUUAGACUACAUCCCGUACCUCUGCCUCGCUUAAAAAAGCCUAAAAUAGAUAUAAGGAGCCCUCCGUCUCCAAAAAGAGCCGCAGAGGCUUCAAUGAAACCUUGGGAAGCUGGAGUAGAAACUGCACCCGAAUUGGUUAGCAGGACACUUAACGCUGAAGAAUUACAAUUUUUAAUUGCAUCUGAAAAGCAUCGCUCCAAAGCAACCACUCAGACAAAGCAGAAUGAGGGACAUUUGAAACAUUCUCCAGAAAUCAAGACCCAACCCAUCAAACCCAAUCCAGAGUUGCAGAAAGAUGAAGAGAGAGAGACAAAACCAACAGAUCUCCAGAAUCUCCUCCAUCAAACGCAAGAGACGAAGAGCAGUUUUCAUAGAGAAGUACCACCUCCUAUUAUGUCCAAACCAAUAACGGGAACUAAUCUUAGGAAGGCAGAUACCACUGCAGAACAUUUGGAAACAGGGAAACUAGAGGAACCUGAAGACAGGAAGAAUGCUUUUGGGGUGCAGCUCCGCACAACCUCUCUGUCACUAAAAUAUCGCUCGGAUGUUUCCAAAAUCAAGGAUGAAACCAAACGGUACACUUUAGAGUCUAAUACAGUGACAGAAGUCUCUGAAGAGCAUGCUGGAAAAGCAGAAACCAAUUCCAAGAGUAAAACCGGCGUUCCCAAAAAACUAGAUCUACAGAAUCUGGACUCUCUGCUUGCUGCCCAAGACAAUGGAAGACCAUCUAUUCAAAAUACAACAGGAGCAAGUAAAGAGGCUGUGUCUGAGCCGGGCUGGAUGAGUCUAGCCAGGGAGAAGACCAGAGCCUACCAGCCAUUUUUGGGCAGAUUGGCCACAAAUCAGUCACCAGUCCACCCUACAUCUCCAACGGCUCCUCCUGCGCAGCCUCCCAAACCAGCCUUACAACCUAAAACACAGCCACUGAGCACCUCGCUUCAUCCACUGAAAGCAGCCAGCCUACAGACCUCACAGAGACCUCAGACAAAACUAGCACCUAGUGGAACAAAAGACUGGCAGGUAAC
rnacentral:lncRNA from 1 species